rnacentral:lncRNA from 1 species
GACCGACUGUCCUCUGGCCUGCUCUGCCUGCAGCUGGAAAAGCAAGUGUACUGAGGCCUCCUCUGGACUCCCUCAUGCUGCCCACUUCUCCCUCCAGCAAGUCCCUGGGCACUGCCAAUGGCCCUGGCCCCUCUCCUCUCUCACCCAUCCACCCACAGAGAGUUGCUAAACCUGUGUCAGGUGCUCUGUAUCUGAGACUUUGGGUGACAACAGUGAGCAAAGGCAGAUGUUGUCCCUGCCCUCAUGGAGCCUACAGGGUUUUGGAGGAGAGAGGUUAAAGAAUCACCAAGCAAAUAUCACCAGUGCUGAGGAGAGAGGGUAGAAUCCCCGGGAGAGGGACCCCAGCUUCCUCCAGGGACACUGGGAGCUGCCAGGUAGCUCUUGCUGGCUACUGCAGCGAGACAUACGACUGGGCUGAAAGCAGUUUUUCUCAAAGUCAUCUUUUGA